rnacentral:tRNA from 1 species
GUUUCUGUGGUUGAAGUAAUCAACGGCGGCUUUUCAGGCCGCAGGUCUUGGAGAGAAGCCAAGUAGGAACU